UAUGUUUCCAUGUUGUGCAGUAACGUUCGUGCUGCAGAAGAAACUUACGGGAGACAUGAUCUCUAUUGAGACGGAGAGUGUUUGGAGGACAAAGAGACGCCGGAACCACCGGGAGCAGAUGCGCAGAAUGGCACCGAAGCUGCGGCAGGCCUGUAAUGGAGCCGAGAUGCUGAGCGCAGGUGAUACGUGUCCUGUGAACUCAGGGGGUGUAGGAUGGUGUCGCUGCUGCUCCAGAGAUCUGCCCAGAUCACAGGCUUCUUUUCAACACGACCCCGACACGACAGGGAAGCCCAAAACUCGCCUCUAAUUGGCAAGCCGUUCAUUUUCACAUUCAGAUUGUUGUUUCACUGCAGUUCUGCUCUUUUUCUUACAGAUCGGAAAUGGCAGAAUACUUGGACCUGAACGUAUCCAGUCCUGUUUGAUACUCUAAUUGUGACCACAGAAAAUGGGUUUGACAUCAGUCAGUUGGGACACAAGAUGGACCUGUCAUAGCCGUAGUAAUAACACGCUGGGCUGGCAGAUGCUCCCUCAUUCACAGUGUCCAGCUCCAUCUGCCCUAGUUUGAUGACACCAGUUAAACGGUGGGUGAGGAAAUGGAAAUUUGGGACAAAGCCCCCUGUUUUUCCAGGGGGACUAAUAUGUUGUGUGUCAACAUCAAGGCUCUGUCCACAGAGUUGUCUCUAUAUCUCAGGCAGUUGGACCCAUGGUGCAGUGCCUGAUAACAGGGCCCCAUGACACAGCUCCAUAAUGAAGCCCAUUUCGACCAUUCAUCCUGUGCUA